UACGUAGGGUGCGAGCGUUGUCCGGAAUUAUUGGGCGUAAAGAGCUCGUAGGCGGUUUGUCGCGUCUGCUGUGAAAACCCGAGGCUCAACCUCGGGCCUGCAGUGGGUACGGGCAGACUAGAGUGCGGUAGGGGAGAAUGGAACUCCUGGUGUAGCGGUGGAAUGCGCAGAUAUCAGGAAGAACACCGAUGGCGAAGGCAGUUCUCUGGGCCGUAACUGACGCUGAGGAGCGAAAGCGUGGGGAGCAAACAGG
rnacentral:rRNA from 1 species